rnacentral:lncRNA from 1 species
UCCCCAGCCGGACCGAGCCGCUGGGCAGCCCUGCGAAAGGGGGUCUGGCUCAAGUCCAAGCACAAGCCGGGGUCCCGUGCACGUACUGCCUCCCCCGCGAUCUAGUUCUUACUGGCUUAGGUGGCGUAGACGCGGCCCCGGGGGAAUAGAGCCGCCCACCUCCCCUUUCACCAAAUGGAUGGAGAUGGAAAUUGGUGCAGAGAAGUGGGGCGAUGCUGUAACAAACACCUGCGAAGUGCGGACGUGGCUCUGGAACCGGGUCGGCAGAGGCCGGAGGCGUUCUGAGGAGCUGGAGAAAGCGCACAGCUGUGCAUGGACCCGUAGUGUGGGAAUGUGUCAGCGUUGUACCUGGGAAGCACAUCACUUGUGUGGCUUCAGAGGUUCCCAGCCGGAGAGGAGUCCGCUUCAGGAGGAAUCCUACCUCUGGUCCAGCUUUGGCCUUUUAGAGAGAUGGUGGGGACAAGGUGCCCUUGGAGCCACGCCAACACAGCAGCCCAUGCAGCGGCGGGACUUGUGGCCGUGGGACACGCAGCGUGGAGAAGAAUGGGGCAGCUGA